UUCUCUUUAGAUGGUCUGUUUAUCUGUCAUAAUUUGACAGUGUAUGAAAAUGAUACCUAGAUUUAUUUCUCAGAAGAUAAUUGCCUUGGCAUUUAGUCUCUUUGUUCUCUAAAUCUUUCCAAUACUUUGCUUUUUUUCUGUUUUCAGGCAGAUUCUACAUUUCCUGAAUGGAGAGGUAUUUUCCUGCACACAGGCAGUCAGUCACUUAGUGGCUGUCACCAACAGAAAAUACAUGUUUGCACAAGGAAAAGAGCACAGGAAGGAAUGGAUGCAUCAGACAGGCAACUCUCCUCCUGGUACCUGGGGGCUCUUUCCAGCACAUUUCACACACCAGGUAAAAAAAUAUCAUCUUUCAUUACAGAUUUCUUUGUAUGUCACAGAAUCCUCCGGUGGGAACAGAUAAUGCCAAUCCUGCCAUCUCCUGGCAUCCAUUCCAUGUUUCAUCAUGUCCUGCCAUGUCAAUCUCACUGGAAGGGAGCAGAAUUAUUGCAGGCACAGCUCUGGGACAGUCAGCAGCUUUGGGUGGGGGCUUGCCCUCAUCACCUGCCAGAUUAUUGAUUGUGCUAAUUUCUCUCUAGUUCUCAAGGAUUAUGUGUCCAAAAAGACACUGAAGGGGAUUGAGGUUUCCACUAACUACCAAAAAAUUCACAUUUUAGGCUAACAGAAAGGGCACAAGCUCUUCCAUAGAGUAUAGGAAAACAGUUGUAAGACUUGAAAGCUUCUUUAUAUUAAUGUGUAAAAAUUCUUUUUUGUGCAAAAGGUUAUUGUUUCUCUUUGUUUUUACAGAAAAAACACCAGCUAAACCUCAGCAUGCCCUGGGAUUGCCUUGCUUUGUGGUGGAGAACAAGAAACCUUGUAAAGGCACAGGUAGGUUUUGCAUAUAUUGUGCUUUUUCUUAUAUUUUUUUCCCUUUUCUCGGUUCUUUUGUUUGAAGGACUGUGCUGGAAUUGCUGAUGGUGUUCAUAAAACUGUUCCAUAUCACCAUUACCUUAGGCAAGUCUAACAGAAAAGAGCCCUAUGGCUUAUAAAGUGAAUGUCAGAGUGUGUUUAUGCACAGUUUAAACAAGAAGCAGGACUGUGAGCUGCCUCUUUUCCCUGCUGCAGAGCUGGCCCAGGUAGGGCGAGCCACACUGUGAUAACCCCAAACACUGCAUGGGGACACAGCUCUGUGCAAUGCUCCCAUGGAUGAUUUCCUCCAGGAACUUGGGAGUACCAGCAGCAAUGAACAUAUUCUCUGAUCUGCUUCCUUAUUUUACCCCUUAGAGGGUAUACUGGGUUUGAACAGCCUGGAUUUGGUAGCCAGGGGGCUACAAGGAGCUGCAAGGAGCUGCCAGAAGCUUCCACCAUGUCUGGCAGAGCCAAUCCCUGGCAGCUCCAAAGAUGGAUGUGCUGCUGGUCAGGGCUGGGCCACUUAGAAAUGAUGGUGACACCUCUGUGGUAACACACUUAAGAGGAAAGAAAAAGAAGUUACUGCAUUGUUGUAACUGUGGCCAGAGCAGGGUGAGAACAUGCGGGAGGAACAACUCUGCAAACACCAAGGUCGGAGUCCAGGGCAUCCCUCUGGCUGCCCUGGAAGGUCUGGGACCCUGGCAGGGGUCAGGAACCCCCCUGGACAGAGCCCCCAGAGAUACUGUCUGUGAUCUCUGUCCAUGGAAAAGAGUUUUCAAUCUUACAGGAUGAAUUACAAGCUCUGAGUGUUUGAUAUAAGUAAUAAUUAAGUGUGGCACGGGUGCAAAAGUAAAAUUUUAGGAUUCUAGAUUAGGGGUCCAAAGGGCACAAGACGGAGGAAAUUGGGUGUGCCUUGUCCUUUUUCUCCUUCUUCAUGCCCUCCAUGUUUCACUGUGCUGUUGGCAUUUUUCUGUUGGUUCAGGCUGGGGACACACUGUCCAACGUAGGUGACAGAUAUUGGCACGUUAUUGUAAAUCCAGCACAGGUAGUUUCUGGUAUUUAAUGUUUGUAACAUCCCACUGAGGGCAGAGCCCCACACGCUGCCCUGCAGGACAGAGCUGCGGCAGGGCAGCAGAACAUGUUAGAGAUAAACAGAAUAAACAACCUUGAAACAGCACAGACAAAUUAUGGCUUCUGCUUUGGCAGGGGAGGGGUGGGAGGAAGGUGUUUCUAAUGCUUUAUUUUACUUCUCAUUAUUCUGCUCUGAUUUUGUUAGCAAUAAAUUUAAUACAUGAUUCUAAUUAAAGCCUAUUUUGCCCAUGAUGGUAUUUGAUGAUCUCCCCUGGUCCUUAGCAUAACCCAUGAACCAUUCAUUAAAUUUUCUCUCCCCUUCAUAGUUGUGGAGAGAAGUGAGAGAGUGGCUUUGGUAGGUGCAUGGCCUCUGGCUUUUACAGAGAUGAAACUUUAGCACAUUCUGCCAAGGGAGAGAAUUGAGACAGUGCAUAUGCAAUCUCUGUGCUCAGCACACAUUUGGGUCCAGGUUAAUUUACCUUAUCUGACAUAACCUUGUAUCAAACUGGACAUAAAUACAGAAUUAAACGUAGCUGUGGGCAGCUAGCUUUUUGUGUACAAUUGCAGCAAUAAUUUAGAUGUUAUUUAUGUUGAUAUUUUCUUGUCAGGUUUGGAACAUUUGUGAGCCAUUUCAAAUGAAAAGACAAAUCAAGCUGAGUUUGUUACAAACAUGCCUCAAUAUGCCCUUUAGAAUGAGCUCUGCACAAACCUUUCACAGGGAGGAGGUAAAUAACAUUUUACUGAAACAGGAAAUGGCCACAGUGAAGACCAACACUAAAUGACUAUAGGAAGCAAUAUAACAAUUACUUACUUCAAAUUCCUUUUGGUGAGCACACAGCCUCCAACCAUGGCAUAAUUUUGCUUAAAGCACUGGGUUCUGAACUACAAGAAGCCAUUUAAGGGAAAAAGCCAUGAACUGUAAAUUAUAUUAGAAAAUCAGAUUUCAAAAGAAUAAUUAUAAAAUAAAUUAACAUCUCAGUGUUUUGCUACUGUAGGGAUGCUUCAAGACCAGGGAAUGAUUGGGAAAUCUUUUUCUAAGCAAAAAGGCUAUACUGAGAAACAAUGCCCUGUGAGAGUCUCUGGCUGUGCUGUACAGUGGGACUUUGUUUGCUUAUAGACUUUGGUUUUGGAAAUCUGAAAUCCACUCUCAGAACUGCAAUUUUUGGUAAGUGAAGAACAUUUUAGCCACUAAUCUUUAGUAAGUAUUACAAGCUCACCUAUAUACAAAGCUAAGGCAAAGGUUUUAUUCCUUUUUUUUCUUUUUUUUCCCCACUUUUGGUUUUGCAAAACCUCUUGAUAAUGCCAAGAACAUGGGAGAUAGGUCACAGAAAAUGUCAAUGAUACUCCCACUAACACCUAUUCUGUAGUUUUGUGUGCUCAUUAUGGAAAAUUGGUCUUAAGUUUUCCCAUUUUUCUAGUUUCCAGAGUAGGAGGAAAAAAAAUAGCUUUGCAGUGAUAGGAGGAAUAAGAUAAUGAAGUCAAGCAGUUCAGUUCAAUUUGAUCUUUGUUAGUUCUAGAACUUUCAGUGAAUCCAUUAAAUAAAUUGCUUGAGACACUGGAAGGAAAAUUGUACAUCAGCAUCUGAUUACAAAUGAUUUGUGGGACUUACUCUAAAACAGUAUCAAUGCUAAUAAAUAAUGUCAUUUUUGAAGAUGGUAGCCAUCCUUUUAUAUAAAUUAUUUACAGCAGGAUGUAAUUUUUACAUUAAAUGGUUUGUACCUAAAAACUGGUAAGUAAUCUUGAGAUUAAAAAAAAGAGCAGAAUUCAAAAAAGGGGGUUACAGUUUGUGGGUCAGGCUUGGCAAGUUGUGAAGUUCCAGUUUUGUAGUGGGUGUGAAAACAGCAAAGCUGACUGAAGUCAUUGCAGCAAAAAUACACACCUAAGGCUGCAAACCAAACCAUCAAGUCCAGCCUUGAACUAGAACAUGGCUGAGUUUCAGGGAAUAAGGAGAGGGUCAAACCAGAAAUUGUGUGGUCUGAAAGUGAAGAGCGCAAGAAUGAGGCGGAGGAGACGAUAAAAAUAAGUGGUGUCAAAAGGACAAAUUGGUGCAGACACCUCAAGACAAGUGGAGCAUGUUACUUGGACUCAGCCUGUUCUAAUGUAAAGCAAGAGCUGGGAGAUAAUGGAAAUGCAGAUAACAAGUGACAUGAAGUUUUCUGCUCCCAAGGAUGAUACUGUGGUGGCAGCUGGGAUCAGGAGUCAGUGAGAGGAGCAUGGACCUCUGCAAUCACCAGCACCACUGGGCCAGAUCCUUCCCCAGGGAGCUGGAACCAAGGAGUGGCAGCAGGGCAAGAGCUAUGCCAUGUGCCCGAGAGUUACAAGGAGACUUAAAGGCUGCUUUUCUCCAUUAUCUCACACAGAUUCACAGAAUAAUGAGGUUGGAAGAGACCUCUAAGAUCAUCAAGUCCAACCUAUGCCCUAACACCACAACUAGACUAUAGCACCGAGUGCCAAGUCCAGUCUUUUUUUAAACAUAUCCAGAGAUGGUGAUUCCACCACCUCCCUAGGAAGACAAUUCCAGUAUUUUAUUAUUCUUUCAGUGAAAAUUUUUUUCCUAAUAUCCAACCUAAACCUUCCCUCAAUUCAAUUUCCUCUCCACAAAUGAGAAUUAAUAUUUCCCUGGCAGAUCCUUCCUAAUUCCUUGACUCAACCUGCCAGGCAUCAAAGGGAAUUUGUGGCAUCAUGGAGAAAAGGGGAAUUUAUCCUGAAAUGCAUCUCAUCAUAGGGUAUUUGGUUUCUUUUUUUUCCCAGCUAUCACUGGGGAUGCCUCUCUCCCUGAUGCACCCUCUUUAAAUCACACGGUUGACUGCACAGUAACAACCAACUUUCUACAUUUCUGUUAGGGAGUCACAAAAUAAUAACAUGUCUGGAGGAUCAGGCAAUGACCCCAGAGCAAUUCUGUACAACCAGAGUUGGAGAAUUUGCCUUGAGUGCUUAGGAAAAUUUCCCUAAGGGCUGAUGCAGUGAAUUCAGAGUAAAUUAUAGGUGAUUUCCUUUUGUCAGGUAACAGACUAUCAGUGAUUCCAGCAUGCAGUUAUUUCACAUGCUUCAAGAGGUCAGACUGCUGCCAGCAGUAACCUGAGACUCAGAAUUUUGCUCAAUAAAAAAUACUUGGCAGAAUCAGUACAGGCAGGUAUUGGGUAAUUCUGCAAUGAAUGCCAAGGGACAUUUUUCAUGUUUGUGUUGGAAAUGAUACAACUUUUAACUUCUUGAGUAACUUUAAUCAUGGGUUUGUUCACCUUUGCCAAGGGGAGUGGAAUUAAUGUUUCUCCUUAAAAGAUUCUGUGCACUGAAGGUUUGAAUUUCAAUGGGUGAGAGCUUCAAUCAAUUAAAAGAAAAUUCAUAGACUCAGAGAGUUUAGAUCAGGAGCAGACAGAAGAUACAGAGGAGAUAAACAGACAUUAAGAAAUGUUACUCCCUGCUGCAGUCAGAGACACCUGGUCUGGGAAAAGGUUUAUAAGAGAACCAAAGAAGGAAGGCUAAAUGAGCAUCAAAGAGAUCAAUAACCAAUAGGAGACUGAAUAUUAAGAAUUGUGUAAUAUGGAAUCAAUGAACGAGAGUUUAUUUAGUUUAUGUAUAAAUAUGUGAAAAGUCUGGUAAAAAAAAGUAUGGUGGAAUGAUUUCCACUGCACAACUGGGCAUGUGUGGAUGGAAUGAUUCACAUUGCACAUCCUGUACAGAAUAACAUCCUGGCUAGAAUAAAGUAAUGCCCGAUUCUCUAACACUUAAAAGAUGGUGCUGGACAGUUCCUGUUUUUCCCACAGUUUCAGUGGCAUUUGGAAAGGAAAGGCCAUGGCCUUAGGAGAGUUUCCUGAUAUGAUGGCACCUCAAAGUUCAGCUUUGCAUGUCUGCUCUGCAUGUCACAGGAGAGGUGAAGGGCUUCAUGGUGAUCUGCUCCACACAAACCAUUCAGAAACAGGCUGGAAAUAAGCAGGACUCUCAUUUUUUACUUAAAUACCUGUGAAUGUCAGUGAUUGAUACUGACAUGACCAAAUUUUCCCUGCUGUAGGCAAUCAGGGAGAUGAAAAAGAGACUUCUUAAAUGCCUUUAUAACAUGGAACACCUUGUAUUUAUGAUGACAGCUGGUCUUUUCCCCUGUAUGAAUUAAUCUCACUAAUUCCUUUCUUCAUUUGUGGCGUGCAUGUCCUCUAACCAGGUUUAUGCCACAACAAAAAUAAGAUGACUGCUGGACUGAUGCAAACCAGUGUCAAUGGCAGUGAACUGAUGGGCUGCUGCUUCAAUCAUAGGAAGGGUUUAAUUUCUAAAGAAUACUAUUUAUAUCUUUUCCUAAAGUCAGAGACAUCAUCCUUUUGUUUCCUGAACUUUUGGUGUAGGAAAACUUAACAAAGUGCUUUAUCAUAUCUCCUGUUUAAAGAGAUUCAUGGCAAGCAGAGCUGACAAGCAACACAAACAGAAAGGGAAAUAAUUCUCUUUUCACCUCCCAUUUAUUCAAAAUUACUUAAUUUAUCCUGUUACAUGUCUUACAUUCUUUAACAUUUCCACUUUCAUCUAUGGUAAAAUUAGGGAAAGAGGACAAGGAAACACUUCCCCUACCCUGGUGUAAUUUCUUCUCAAAAAUCCUCUUGUGAGUUUUGUUGCAAUUGGUGAAUUCUGUUUCCUACUCUCAAGGCACAAACCUCCCUGUUGUUUACUUCUCCCUCUGUAGGUCUGUUCAUUAGUAGAAUGCCUUUGGCAGCUCCGAGGGCAGAAUGAUUUUCCAGAAAAACAGGGCAGGUUAAAAAUUGCCUUUAGAAUUAGAGCAUUUUUUGCUUCAUUCCUGUGACACUGCACUGGAGAUGUGAUCCAGUAAAAAUCAGUCCUGAUAGUACCUUUCUUUAUAUAUCUACUUCUGGAGGGAAUUCAAGCAUCUUACCUAACUUUAUUGCAUUCUGAGAAUUUAAGGCAGGAUUUUAGGAGCUUUUUGCUAAAUAUUCAGGGAAGAGGGGAAGGAAAGAUAAAUAAAUGGUAUGUGUUUAGAAUUUGCAGUCUUCUCUGUGCACAGCAUGUGUAAUGGCUCAUUUCAUUUUGGGGCUAUGUAUUCAUCCCCAGUAUUGUGAUGAAAUGUUGCUCAGAUGUGUCUGAGAGGAGCACACACCCAUGUGGAUGCUAUUAGGAAAAACAUUCUCAUUUGCCAGAUGUGUGGUUUUUAACUGUUGCUUCCUGGGCAGGAAAAAACAGCAACAGCUGCUGGCAGCAGAGACAGGAAAGAGAUGCUGUGUGCACCUUGGUGCUGCUGGGGAGGAGAGAUACCCAUUCUGGCUCUCUUCUUGCUCCUUUAUUUGGCCUGUGGGGCCAGGAAGGGCCAGGUAGCUCUGAAUGGCAGUUUAACCUGGGUGGCAGGUGCCUUUGGAGGCUGUGAGGAUCAGGGUCAGCUUUUCCCAGCAAGUGCUGGGAUGUGUGGGGUUUGUGGUCUCACUCAUCCUCCUCUGGGAAGGCUGCUCUUAAGAAGACUCUGGGGCAGAGGCAGGAGAGGAGUGGGGGCUCUGAGCCAUCCCCAGUUCUCCCCAGUCUGCUGGAGGCUCCUUGUCCUGUUUUUUGUGCUGGACCUCCUUACUGUCAGUGCUGAGUUGCCAUGAGCUCUUCCUCUGAAUCACCAGUGGUGGUGCUCCCCAAACAGCCAGCUUGGCAUAUGCCCACAGCUGUUGAAUAGCAGCCAAAAAUGCUAGUUUAUCCUUUUGCCUUCUUUUUAGGCUCUUCUUGAUUCCCUUCCCCGAUUCUAUUGCUUCAUUCAUUUAGGGUAUUUCUUCCAGCAAUUGCACAUCUCCUCUGGCUCUUGUUUUCCUUGUUCUGCCACAGGAAUUCGGAUUAUUGCCUACAGGGCUCAGGUGAAGCCCACAUUGAGUUCAGCUGCCUCUCCUUUUUUCUUUCUGCCCCCAGGAAAUUAAACACUCCCACAGAAAAAGCUUCCUGCUCUUUUUUUCCUACGUGUAAGGAAAGAGCAUUUGGUUUAUGAGACAUGCUAUGUCUUUUCUUUCCUCAUAUUAUGAACUCUUCAGUGAGAAAAUGGUAUUUAUUUUCUCUCUUCUAUACUGUGAAGUAUAUUAUUGGUCCUGUCACCAUUGAGGCAGGAUGGGAAUGAAAAAGACUUCAAGUCAGAAGGUUAAAAGAACUGAACUGGACAACUUUAUUUCAAAUACAUCACUUUUUUUGUAGAGAACAUCAUGCAAAGUAAAAACAUCUCACACCAUUGGUGCGUGCUGAAUGCACGGUGGCAGAACAUAUCUACAAAAAAUGUGAACAACAAGAAAGAUAAUUAUUUAUAUUCCUUUGAAACUCUUUCCCAGGCCCAGCCUGGCAGAAACCUCUCCUUUCUCUCUGACUGAACUGAGAAUAUCCAUAGGUCCCAUUAAAAUGAUAUAUAUCUCAAUUACUAUGUUUUUCAUUCAAAAAUAAAUGGGAAAAACCUUAAGGUUGCAUGGAAAAACUUGGUCUUAAAUAUUUCACUUAUCAAAGACAAUCUGAGAAAACAAGAAUUGUUCAAGUGAAUGUUUCUGUGGUUUGAAGUGCCAAUGAAAUAGACACAGUACUUCAAGCUUCUGAAUCAACUUCUUAAGAAAUGUUAUUUUCACAAAGACUAAACAGGUAUUUCAAUUUUAAGCAUUUUCAGAGUGACAAGAUACAGACAUAUCAGAUUAUUUCCAAAAUGUCUUGUCCUUACAAAUUAGCAGUAUUAUUAAAUAAUGAGGUGUAUGGAUAGGUGCCAUCCUGUGCCCCAAGUCAGGGAAUAUUAAGUGCUGAAAGGAAUUAGCUCAAACUGUCUUCUUACUUUCUUGAGUUCCACUUUUUUUUUUUCCCCAGGAGGUCUGAGUUAGUCUAAACCACUUGUCAGAGAUCUCAUUUAUUUUUGAUGUGUUGUACUUUGCCCCUUUCUGCAUUAUUCAGAAAGGAAAAAAAAUAAUCUGAGUGGAUAGAAUAAAAACAAAAUAGAAAAUUAAAAAGAAAAUAGAAAAGAAAAAAGAAAAUCCUGAAUACCCAAUUUUCACAUUUGAACCUUUGACUGAAAAGGCAUCUCAGAGUGUCAUUUCUUCUGGCUCAUAGCCAAAAUGAAGGGAAAAACAUCUCAGCUUAACUGGGUAAAGCUUGUCUGCCCACCACUGCAAUUGGGAAACUCAGUUACUUACCAUCACAGACUUGCCAGAACAAAACAGACAAAAAAUUUCCUGCCAUUUAAAUUUUGUGUACGACCACUACAAAAAUUAACAAUGUCAUUUCCUUUACUCAGAUUCCAUGCCCAUCUCUCUGAAGAGCACAACUGAGCGCCAGAUGUGUGCAGCACACUUUCUUCUGGCCUGAUUUCAGAAAAUCUUAGAAAGGGAUCUGUCCCAGUGCUGUUGUUACUUUGGGGUAUUAAUUUGGGCUGGUCUGUGUCGUGUUGUGAGGGGUCAGUGCAGAAGAAAAAGCGGGCAAUGGGUCUUAGGUGGAAAAUCCAAGGGUCCUUUAUUAUUCUUGCUGCAGUAACAAGAACAUUCUUGAAUACAGCCAAACACAAAGACCUCUAACAAGGAGCAAUCCCAAUUUAUAUACACUAACAUGGAACAUUCUAGAAACAUUCUAACCAAUCAUAACAGGCCACAUAAUCUAUAUUAAGGUAGUGCCUCCCAUGAUCACAUUCAAACAAACUUUAACUCUCCCAAACUUGAAACAGUGUCCCCAAAUUUAGGGUGUAGCUUUCCAUGGCCUUGAGUUGAUUCUGGCUAUGACUGGCUUGCUGAUAUGUACCUUUGCAGAUAUGUACCUUUGCAGAUAUGUACCUAUACAUCAGCACAUCCACCUCUGCUAGGGGACUCAUCCUCAUCCCAGCAGGAUUUGGUCCCCCUGAGCAGGAGCAGCAGCUUGUAGCAGCACAUUUACUAUUUCAAUAAGGACAAAACCCAGCUUCUUUCUCACCACAAAGCAAAUUCUCUGCAGGAAUCUCUGGGGUUGUUUAUGUCAGGGACUGACAUGGUGCUGAAUCUCCAAGCCACAGCCUGCUCCUGCUGUAGAACUACAGCCCUCUGGUGGCACCAAAUCACUUAUUUUGUCAAAAGCUGCAUAUAUAACAGGGAAAAACUCACCUUUGGGCUCUGACCAGCUCUGACUCGGUGCUGCCUGGAGGGGUAAGAAUAUCUCUGGGGGAAGAGUCCAAGAAGCAGGGACGUGACCCACCACAUAGAAACUUCUAAAGAAAAUGCAGUGACUGAAUGCAAAGGUACUUAAGAAGUGGGAGAUUGUUUGCCUCACAGGACUAGGAGAGACCUUAGAAAUCAUUGUCCUGAAAAAAUUACUUGCCCUGGGAAGAGGCCAGUAAGGACCCCUCAAUAGUGUUCUGAUCAUCAGCAAUAAACUCUUCUCUCUGCUAAAGGAGGAUGAAACAAGCAUCCCUUACACCUGGAUAGAGUUUGUUUAGCUUGAUCUUUAAAGUGCUUAAAUGACUGAGAUCUUGUAAGAUUUUACUCCCUGUGCUUCAUUAGGGGAACGAUUAGCCUACUUGUCUUAUAUCUCAUUCAUAGCUUAUAUUGCACAAUUUAAGUCAUUAUUCCUUGACCUAUUUGCUGUGGAAAAGGAAAAAACACAUAAGACUUUUUUUUUUUUUUUUCAGUGUGCUGAUCUCUUUGAAUAUAUGUUCUUUGAUUCUUCCUUAAAGCUAAUCAGCACAAAUUAAUUUCAUCUUUCUGAUCAA
rnacentral:lncRNA from 1 species